GACGAACGCUGGCGGCGUGCCUAAUACAUGCAAGUGGAACGCUGAAGAGAGGAGCUUGCUCUUCUUGGAUGAGUUGCGAACGGGUGAGUAACGCGUAGGUAACCUGCCUUGUAGCGGGGGAUAACUAUUGGAAACGAUAGCUAAUACCGCAUAACAAUGGAUGACACAUGUCAUUUAUUUGAAAGGGGCAAUUGCUCCACUACAAGAUGGACCUGCGUUGUAUUAGCUAGUAGGUGAGGUAAUGGCUCACCUAGGCGACGAUACAUAGCCGACCUGAGAGGGUGCUCGGCCAAGCUGGGACUGGGACACGGCCCAGACUCCUGCGGGAGGCAGCAGUAGGGGAUCUUCGGCAAUGGGGGCAAUCCUGACCGAGCAACGCCGCGUGAGUGAAGAAGGUUUUCGGGUCGUAAAGCUCUGUUGUAAGUCAAGAACGGGUGUGAGAGUGGAAAGUUCACACUGUGACGGUAGCUGACCAGAAAGGGACGGCUAACUACGUG
rnacentral:rRNA from 1 species